UAGUAAGAAGCAAUAAAUUGCUCUCAGUUUCGACCUGAAUUUAAGAUGAUAUCAUCAUCCUUACUUU
rnacentral:tRNA from 1 species